UCACUGAAAGCCUCAAACCUGUUAGAGCCAAAAAAAUUACCUGCAGUUAUUAGCUUUGUUACUCUACUUGCUGUUGGCAGCUUAAGAAGAGAGUAAGGCUGAAGCACACAAGUGGCCUGCCUGGGCGAAUGGACCUGAUAUGUUAUGUUGGGGGACACAGCGUUUCCUUCCUGAUAUCAAGCUAUGUCAUUUUUAUCCUUUUUAAAAGUUCUAGCCUUGAGCACUAUAGACUGGUUAUUCACUGAUACAUACCCCUGCUUCCAGUUGGAGAACUAUUAUCUGUUGGAGAACGUGUCCUGCUACUAAAAUUCACAAUUCUUGCAUGCUUCUGCUGCCCUUUUUUCUUUGAGAGUUUUCUGACCAAUGAGGACACCAGUGUUUUGGAAGAGAGCCUUACUUCAUCCCACCAAGUGGUGAAUUUUUAAUUUUCCUGUGAGAUUAUCUUCAGAUUUGCUGGUUGUUGCUGAUGCUUUGAUUUGAUGGGGCUGGCUAGUGAGUGAAAUAUUGGCAUGGCAUCUGCAGGUAGCCAAUCUUUAGUUGGUGGGAGUGGAAGCAACAACAUUAGUAUUUUGAAAUGAACAUUUCCCAAAAUAAUGCAGUAUAGUACUGAAAUGAACUUUGCCCAUGACAGUUCGUUCAGUACCUUAAACCUCCAAAAUUUUCAACAAUAUUUUAACAUAGAAGUACAUUCUGGCAGGUAGAUAAGUAGUCUAAAGCAAUAGUAGUGAGGAUUUGUGCUUCAUUUGGAGCAAAUUGAUACCCUGUUCUAGAGGAGAUGGUCAAGCAGAGGCAAAAUUUUCAUGUGGUAUUUUAGUUUGAUGUAUGGGACAAGAUCUUUUCUAGAAGGAACAUGCUCAUUACAUUCUCCUCUACAUAUAAUUUUACGUAGUAUAGCCUGUGAAUAUCUUGGCACGAGGGUUUAGACCUUCUAUAAUUAGUGGCAAACACAUUAUUAACAAACUGUGACAUGCUUGUUCAGCUAUCUUGCACUAAUCGUAUGACCAUUCAUUGAUUAACAUCCGGGCAGACUAUGGACUCCUCUGAAUUCCUCUGAAUUAGCUGCUAAUUCAGACAAUCA